GAACAUGCAAAGGGGUGCAAGAUAGUGAGAGAUUAAUUGUGUGUAGUGGGUGGGUUCAGGAUGAGAGUUCCUGAGCACAAGCAGGACCUAGUGAUUUGAACUUCCCUCUGGCACAAACCAAGGAACAGGAGAGCCUCAUAAUCAACUCUUCUAGAAUUUGGGCAAGAAAGGAAGAGGCAGGUGGAGCCUUAAAACUGUCAGGGGCCAAGAGGAGGAGUUAGACAACAUUACAGAGGUUGUACUCUAACAAACACCUGCAGGUACAGCUAACAACACUGUGCAUGGAGACCCAGCACUGUUUUGCAUAGCCUUCUCCGUCUGCUAUAAAGAUCAAAAAGAAGCAUGAAGGAGCAGGAUACAUUAAUGGACAAAAGAUGAGACUAAUUUCAUAGUAAAAACAUUUUGAGUCAUCAACUACCAUGUGUUCCAUGUGUGAGAAGUUAACCAGGAUGGGCCUUGUGAAAAGCCAGAUGUCUGGGAAUAGAAAACAGAAAAGGUAUCAGAGAGGAAAAACAAUCUAAGAUGAGAAAGGAGGAUGAAGAUGGUGGCGAUUCAGAGGCUUUGCAGGAAAAUGAUCCUUUAUAAACAACAAGCAAAUAAAUAUGAACUAAGAACAGU